UAUCUCUGUAGAGUCUGCAUAUCAAUAAGCGGAGGAAAAGAAACUAACUAGGAUUCCCUCAGUAACGGCGAGUGAAGCGGGAAGAGCUCAAAUUUGAAAUCUUCAAGGUUCUACCUUGACGAAUUGUAGUUUAAAGAAGUGUUUUCUGUUGAAGUUUUGGUAAAAGUUCUUUGGAAUAGGACAUCAUAGAGGGUGAGAAUCCCGUAUUUGACCAGUUAUUUUCCAGCUGUGUGAUACACUUUCAAAGAGUCGGAUUGUUUGGGAAUGCAGUCCAAAAGUGGGUGGUAAAUUUCAUCUAAAGCUAAAUACUGGCGAGAGACCGAUAGCGAACAAGUACCGUGAGGGAAAGAUGAAAAGAACUUUGAAAAGAGAGUUAAACAGUACGUGAAAUUGUCAAAAGGGAAGCGUUUGACACCAGUGUUGUUUUCUCGAAAAUCAAUUAAAAAUGGCUAUGAUUUUGUGUUGUAUUGACUUUAUCAAGCUUUCUGCACUUUUUUCCUGUCUUUUUUAAUGCACUUUUCGUUUAACAAGUCAACAUCAGUUUCUUUUGUUGUAAAAGGGUCAUUGGAAGGUGGCUUUCUUUUCGGAGAAAGUGUUUAUAGCCUUUGACUCCUGCAAUCGGAGAGACUGAGGUCUGCAGCAUAGAUCCUCUUGGAUUAGAUUCAUUUGUGCUAAGUUAUAGCUUUUUAUAGACAACUUGUUGACUAUAUUUAGUCUUGUAGCUUACUCGCUUAUGUAAUUUUACCUACGCUUAGGAUGUUGAACGCGCACAGAGUCUC
rnacentral:rRNA from 1 species